rnacentral:rRNA from 1 species
UAGGCGUAAAUGAUGCGAGUUAAGUGUGGGGGCAUCUACGAGAUGGCCCUGUGCUGUAGGGUAGCCGUUAAACUCGCUGCCUGGGGAGUACGGUCGCAAGGCUGAAACUUAAAGGAAUUGGCGGGGGAGCACCACAACGGGCGGAGCCUGCGGUUUAAUUGGACUCAACGCCGGAAAUCUUACCGGGACCGACAGCAACAUGAAGGCCAGGCUGAAGACUUUGCCGGAUUAGCUGAGAGGUGGUGCAUGGCGUAGUCGUGU